UAGCAUAUCAAUAAGCGGAGGAAAAGAAACCAACCGGGAUUGCCUCAGUAACGGCGAGUGAAGCGGCAACAGCUCAAAUUUGAAAGCUGGCUCCUUCGGGGUCCGCAUUGUAAUUUGGAGAGGAUGCUUCGGGUGCGGCCCCCGUCUAAGUGCUCUGGAACGGGCCGUCGGAGAGGGUGAGAAUCCCGUCUGGGGCGGGGAGCCCCGUGCCCGUGUGAAGCUCCUUCGAAGAGUCGAGUUGUUUGGGAAUGCAGCUCUAAAUGGGUGGUAAAUUUCAUCUAAAGCUAAAUACAGGCCGGAGACCGAUAGCGCACAAGUAGAGUGAUCGAAAGAUGAAAAGCACUUUGAAAAGAGAGUUAAACAGCACGUGAAAUUGUUGAAAGGGAAGCGCUUGCGAUCAGACUCGCCCGCGGGCUUCAGCCGGCACUCGUGCCGGUGUACUUGCUCGCGGGUGGGCCAGCGUCGGUUUGGGCGGCCGGUCAAAGGCCCCCGGAAUGUAGCGCCCCACGGGGCGUCUUAUAGCCGGGGGUGCCAUGCGGCCAGCCCGGACCGAGGAACGCGCUUCGGCACGGACGCUGGCGUAAUGGUCGCAAGCGACCCGUCUUGAAACACGGACCAAGGAGUCUAACAUCUACGCGAGUGUUUGGGUGGCAAACCCAUGCGCGCAGUGAAAGCGAACGGAGGUGGGAACCCCCCCGCGGGGUGCACCAUCGACCGAUCCUGAUGUCCUCGGAUGGAUUUGAGUACGAGCGUAGCUGUGGGGACCCGAAAGAUGGUGAACUAUGCCUGAAUAGGGCGAAGCCAGGGGAAACUCUGGUGGAGGCUCGCAGCGGUUCUGACGUGCAAAUCGAUCGUCAAAUUUGGGUAUAGGGGCGAAAGACUAAUCGAACCAUCUGGUAGCUGGUUCCUGCG
rnacentral:rRNA from 1 species